rnacentral:rRNA from 1 species
GACGAACGCUGGCGGCGCGCUUAACACAUGCAAGUCGAGCGAGAUCCAGGCCUUCGGGCCUGGGGACAGCGGCGAACGGGUGAGUAACACGUGGGUAAUCAACCCUCGACACUGGGAUAGCCCGGGGAAACCCGGAUUAAUACCGGAUGGCCCUUUGGAUCCUCGGAUCUGAAGGGAAAGGCAGCUUCGGCCUCCGGUCGAGGACGAGUCCGCGGCGGAUUAGCUUGUUGGUGAGGUAACGGCUCACCAAGGCGACGAUCCGUAGCUGGUCUGAGAGGACGAUCAGCCACACUGGGACUGAGACACGGUCCCGACUCCUACGGGAGGCAGCAGUGGGGAAUUUUCCGCAAUGGGCGAAAGCCUGACGGAGUGACGCCGCGUGGGGGACGAAGGCCUUCGGGUCGUAAACCCCUGUCAGAGGGAAAGAAGGGUGUCGGCGUGAAUAGCGCCGGCAUCUGACGGUACCUUCAGAGGAAGCCCCGGCCAACUCUGUGCCAGCAGCCGCGGUAAUAC